rnacentral:rRNA from 1 species
UACGUAGGGUGCGAGCGUUGUCCGGAUUUACUGGGCGUAAAGGGUGCGUAGGCGGCGCGGUAAGUCGGGUGUGAAAUCUCGGAGCUUAACUCCGAAACUGCAUUCGAUACUGCCGUGCUUGAGGACUGGAGAGGAGACUGGAAUUUACGGUGUAGCGGUGAAAUGCGUAGAUAUCGUAAGGAAGACCAGUGGCGAAGGCGGGUCUCUGGACAGUUCCUGACGCUGAGGCACGAAGGUCAGGGGAGCAAACGGG